GCCGCGCUGGGGCAUCCCUUUGCGGCUAAAGAGGCGACUCGGUGCGGGAUGGGCACGCGUCCCAUUAGAUGGUUGGCGGGGUGACGGCCCACCAAGUCCGCGAUGGGUAGGGGUUCUGAGGGGACAGGCCCCCCACACUGGAACUGAGACACGGUCCAGACUCCUACGGGAGGCAGCAGUAAGGAAUAUUGGUCAAUGGGAGUAAUCCUGAACCAGCCAUGCCGCGUGCGGGAGGAAGGCCCUACGGGUCGUAAACCGCUUUUGCCCGGGGAUAGUGCGCGUCACGAGUGGCGCGAGGGAAGGUACCGGGCGAAUAAGCAUCGGCUAACUCCGUGCCAGCAGCCGCGGUAAUACGGAGGAUGCGAGCGUUAUCCGGAUUUAUUGGGUUUAAAGGGUGCGCAGGCGGACCGGUAAGUCAGCGGUGAAAUCCACACGCCCAACGUGUGAAGUGCCGUUGAUACUGCCGGACUGGUAUGCCGGGGGCGCGGCCGGAAUGUGUCGUGUAGCGGUGAAAUGCAUAGAUAUGACACAGAACGCCGAUCGUGAAGACAGGUCGCGAACCGGAGAUAGACGCUCAAGC
rnacentral:rRNA from 1 species